rnacentral:rRNA from 1 species
AUUUGAAAGGCGCUUUCGGGUGUCGCUGAUGGAUGGACCCGCGGUGCAUUAGCUAGUUGGUGAGGUAACGGCUCACCAAGGCCACGAUGCAUAGCCGACCUGAGAGGGUGAUCGGCCACAUUGGGACUGAGACACGGCCCAAACUCCUACGGGAGGCAGCAGUAGGGAAUCUUCGGCAAUGGACGAAAGUCUGACCGAGCAACGCCGCGUGAGUGAAGAAGGUUUUCGGAUCGUAAAACUCUGUUGUUAGAGAAGAACAAGGAUGAGAGUAACUGUUCAUCCCUUGACGGUAUCUAACCAGAAAGCCACGGCUAACUACGUGCCAGCAGCCGCGGUAAUACGUAGGUGGCAAGCGUUGUCCGGAUUUAUUGGGCGUAAAGCGAGCGCAGGCGGUUUCUUAAGUCUGAUGUGAAAGCCCCCGGCUCAACCGGGGAGGGUCAUUGGAAACUGGGAGACUUGAGUGCAGAAGAGGAGAGUGGAAUUCCAUGUGUAGCGGUGAAAUGCGUAGAUAUAUGGAGGAACACCAGUGGCGAAGGCGGCUCUCUGGUCUGUAACUGACGCUGAGGCUCGAAAGCGUGGGGAGCAAACAGGAUUAGAUACCCUGGUAGUCCACGCCGUAAACGAUGAGUGCUAAGUGUUGGAGGGUUUCCGCCCUUCAGUGCUGCAGCUAACGCAUUAAGCACUCCGCCUGGGGAGUACGACCGCAAGGUUGAAACUCAAAGGAAUUGACGGGGGCCCGCACAAGCGGUGGAGCAUGUGGUUUAAUUCGAAGCAACGCGAAGAACCUUACCAGGUCUUGACAUCCUUUGACCACUCUAGA